rnacentral:rRNA from 1 species
GGCUGGGGGUGAAAGGCCAAUCAAACCGGGAGAUAGCUGGUUCUCCCCGAAAGCUAUUUAGGUAGCGCCUCGUGAAUUCAUCUCCGGGGGUAGAGCACUGUUUCGGCAAGGGGGUCAUCCCGACUUACCAACCCGAUGCAAACUGCGAAUACCGGAGAAUGUUAUCACGGGAGACACACGGCGGGUGCUAACGUCCGUCGUGAAGAGGGAAACAACCCAGACCGCCAGCUAAGGUCCCAAAGUCAUGGUUAAGUGGGAAACGAUGUGGGAAGGCCCAGACAGCCAGGAUGUUGGCUUAGAAGCAGCCAUCAUUUAAAGAAAGCGUAAUAGCUCACUGGUCGAGUCGGCCUGCGCGGAAGAUGUAACGGGGCUAAACCAUGCACCGAAGCUGCGGCAGCGACACUAUGUGUUGUUGGGUAGGGGAGCG